rnacentral:rRNA from 1 species
UACGAAGGGGGCUAGCGUUGCUCGGAAUUACUGGGCGUAAAGGGCGCGUAGGCGGACAUUUAAGUCGGGGGUGAAAUCCCAGGGCUCAACCCUGGAACUGCCUUCGAUACUGGAUGUCUUGAGUGCGGGAGAGGUGUGUGGAACUCCGAGUGUAGAGGUGAAAUUCGUAGAUAUUCGGAGGAACACCAGUGGCGAAGGCGGCUCACUGGUCCAUUACUGACGCUGAGGUGCGAAAGCGUGGGGAGCAAACAGG